rnacentral:tRNA from 1 species
UAGCCAAGUGGUUAAGGCUAUGGAUCGCAAAUCCGAAGACGGCGGGUUCGAUUUCCGU